GACGAACGCUGGCGGCGUGCCUAACACAUGCAAGUCGAACGGAAAGGCCGCUUUGGGGUUCCCUGAGUGGCGAACGGGUGAGUAACACGUGAGUAACCAGCCCUUGACUUCGGGAUGACUUCAGGAAAGUGGGGAUAAUACCGGAUAGAAAUCAUUGCUGCUUGGUGGGGGAUGGAAAGAUUCGGGGGUUUUGGACGGUCUCGCGGGUUAUUAGCUUGUUGGGGGGGUAGUGGCUUACCAAGGCUCUGACGGGUAGCCGGCCUGAGGGGGCGACCGGCGACAUUGGGACUGAGGGGCGGCCCAGACGCGGACGGGAGGCAGCAGUGGGGAAUAUUGCACAAUGGGCGCCGGCCUGAUGCAGAAGGGCCGCGGGCGGGAAGACCGCCUUCGGGUUGAAAACCGCUUUCAGCAGGGGAGAAGCUUGUGGUGACGGUACCUGCAGAAGAAGCACCGGCUAACUACGUG
rnacentral:rRNA from 1 species